rnacentral:lncRNA from 1 species
GUUUAAAUGGAGCUGGCACUUUUUUGGCAGCUAAAUCAUCCCAAUUUAUAUUCUGGAAAAAGGGAUGCUGUUUGAUUUCAUCAGCAUCAGUUGGACCACAACCUAGUCUCUUCUUGGGGUCUUUCAUCAAAAGGCGCUGAAUGAUAUCCUUUGACAGUGCACUCAUUUCUUGUGGGUAAGGUGGUUCGCUUUUUAAUAUUCUCCUAGAAAUCUCAGCUUGAGAAUUCUUCUCUCCAUCAACUGUAAAGGGUGAUGCUCCAGUUAGCAAUUCGUACAUAAGAACACCAACACUCCACCAAUCGACAGCCUUAUCAUGUCCUGUAUCUCCUCCUCUUACAAUAUCUGGAGCCAUGUACUCUA